CCCUGCAUUGAACAUGGGUGUCCUGACUCAGCUCCUCUGCCUCCUGCUGUCCUGCAUCCCAGCUGCCAGUGGCGCCGCUCAGCUGACUCAGUCCCCGGCCUAUCUCUCUGUGUCCCUGAGAGACAGCGUGUCCAUCAGCUGCAGGGCCAGCGAGAGCAUUAGUGACUACUUAAGCUGGUAUCAGCAGAAACCGGGCCAGCCUCCCAAGCUUAUCAUCUAUGAUGCUGAUAACCUAAAGUCUGGUGUCCCAGAUCGGUUCUCUGCAUUUCAGUCUGACAAAGAAUUCAUCCUCAAAAUCAGCACAGUACAGCCUGAGGACUCCGCCAGUUACUUCUGCCAGCAGGAUUAUGCACUUCCUCCCACGGUGCUGCAGCCUCGAGCAAAAACCUUCCCCCCACCGGGCUGCUUGUUCAGGGGUUCCAGCAGCUGCACUGUGCCCUGA